rnacentral:rRNA from 1 species
UACGUAGGGUGCAAGCGUUUAUCGGAAUUACUGGGCGUAAAGCGCGCGCAGGCGGUUUUGUAAGUCUGACGUGAAAUCCCCGGGCUCAACCUGGGAAUUGCGUUGGAGACUGCAAGGCUAGAAUCUGGCAGAGGGGGGUAGAAUUCCACGUGUAGCAGUGAGAUGCGUAGAGAUGUGGAGGAACACCGAUGGCGAAGGCAGCCCCCUGGGUCAAGAUUGACGCUCAUGCACGAAAGCGUGGGGAGCAAACAGG